rnacentral:lncRNA from 1 species
AUGGAUCUUCUUGGAGAAAUUUUUGACACACUCGGUUCUCAGAGUUGCCACGAUCGUGGCCCGCUUUACAGUGCUCGCAGCUUGGAUCUAUUUGGGUCAGACAGCUAUCAUUACAUAACUGAGCGUGGUACUGCCAACCCCAGCCAGGAGAGCCUGUCUCUGUCCGGCAGCGACAGCCUCCACAGCUGGAGUUUAGAGACAAGGGAGGAUUUGUCUGAACUGGGAACGAACUCUGAUUGGCAGUGCCUGGACAUCAGAGAACCAGAGAACGAAAGGAGCAACGAUGUGCAGGCGUCCUUUGAAAUAAGAGAGCAGGAGACGGGAUGGAGCGAGGACGACACAGAGAAAACAGAGACAGUGAGGGAAGCAACGGCUGAGAAUCCGGGCAAAGAAAUGGACGACACAAAUGUAUUAACAGAGGUGAAUUUUGAGGAAGAAGAGUGGAACGAUACUCUGGAAAAGAAAAGUAAACAUGAAGCUUUCAGUGCAGGACAGGUUUCACAAAGUGAACCGAACAACAGCUUUAACAAAGCAGAAGACACACAAGUCAAGAGCAAAGGUGGGAAAAGGCCUUCAGAUGACCUUCAGACACUCGACUACCUUCAUGUAAAGUCUGAGGAGGAACGUCAGGAAAAGGUCCCGCCAGAAACUCCUCAUUCCACUCCUGAGCCCGUUGUGUGUCUGGGCAGAAGUGAAAAAGCACGGACAAAAGAGGAGCAAGCAACACGGCACACACCACCACCUCCUAAGGUGCAGUCCGCAGCAGAACGCUACCAGGCAGCAGCUGCACACCAAGGCCUCCAUGUCAAGUCCAGGACCAGGGACCUGGCUGGAACUGAGAGAUCCUGCGAAGCUCUAAAAGCCAGAGAGAGGUCGCACACCCACCCACAAUGUGACCUGGAGGGCCCCGUCGAAGACACGCAUCCUUCAGUCAAAGUGUCUGAACUGAAGAAAAGAUUUGAAGCCUGAAAGCAGUGAUGAGGUGCAUUUCUCAUUCAGUUAACAUUACUGAUUUUGGACUUGUUUUUCUAAGGCCUGACUGGUACAUUUUUGCAUGUAACUUGAGGUGUGGGGAUUGAAUGUCGUCUUCUUUUGAAUUUUAUAGUUUAUAUCAUUAUGAGGAUAGCAAAGAAGCUCAUACUGCUUUAUGCCUGAUGUUGAGUUCGCUUCACAGUUUUUCCUACCCUCUGCUUGUUUUCCUUUCAAUUGUAUUUAUUGCUUAGAAAACAAUUUAAAAUCUAAACAAAAAAAAUACAAUUGAACAUUGUUCAG